AUUGAACGCUGGCGGCAGGCCUAACACAUGCAAGUCGAGCGGCAGCGGGAAAGUAGCUUGCUACUUUUGCCGGCGAGCGGCGGACGGGUGAGUAAUGCCUGGGAAAUUGCCCAGUCGAGGGGGAUAACAGUUGGAAACGACUGCUAAUACCGCAUACGCACUACGGGGGAAAGCAGGGGACCUUCGGGCCUUGCGAGAUUGGAUAUGCCCAGGUGGGAUUAGCUAGUUGGUGAGGUAAUGGCUCACCAAGGCGACGAUCCCUAGCUGGUCUGAGAGGAUGAUCAGCCACACUGGAACUGAGACACGGUCCAUACUCCUACGGGAGGCAGCAGUGGGGAAUAUUGCACAAUGGGGGAAACCCUGAUGCAGCCAUGCCGCGUGUGUGAAGAAGGCCUUCGGGUUGUAAAGCACUUUCAGCGAGGAGGAAAGGUUGAUGCCUAAUACGUAUCAACUGUGACGUUACUCGCAGAAGAAGCACCGGCUAACUCCGUGCCAGCCGCCGCCGUAACAC
rnacentral:rRNA from 1 species